AGAGAGAGACAUGCGCGCAUAUCAAUAAGCGGAGGAAAAGAAACUAACAAGGAUUCCCCUAGUAACGGCGAGUGAAGCGGGAAGAGCUCAAAUUUGAAAUCUUAAAGGGUUUCCCUUUACGAAUUGUAGUUUAAAGAAGUGUUUUCUGUUGAGGUUUUGGUAAAAGUUCUUUGGAAUAAGACAUCAUAGAGGGUGAGAAUCCCGUAUUUGACCUUUACUUUCAACUUUGUGAUACACUUUCAAAGAGUCGGAUUGUUUGGGAAUGCAGUCCAAAAUGGGUGGUAAAUUUCAUCUAAAGCUAAAUAUUGGCGAGAGACCGAUAGCGAACAAGUACCGUGAGGGAAAGAUGAAAAGAACUUUGAAAAGAGAGUUAAACAGUACGUGAAAUUGUCAAAAGGGAAGCGUUUGACACCAGUGUUGUUUUUCUGAAAAUCAAUUAAAGAACUGUUUAUGCUAAGUUGUUUAGACUUUAUCAGCUAACUGUUUAGUUUUGAGCUUUUCUUUAAUGCACUUUUCAGUUAACAAGUCAACAUCAAUUUCUUUUGCUGUAAAAAAGCUUGAGGAAGGUGGCUUGAGAUUCGUCUUAAGUGUUUAUAGCCUCUUGCCUAUGCAGUCGGAGAGAUUGAGGUCUGCAGCGUAGAUCCUUCGGGACUAAAUGCAUUUGUGCUAAGUUAUAGCAUUUUAUAGACAACUUGUUGACUAUGAUUUGUCUUGUAGCUUACUCGCUUAUGUUAUUUUACCUACGCUUAGGAUGUUGAGCGCAUGUCUCUCUCU
rnacentral:rRNA from 1 species